GGAGAGGCGCCGGCGUCGCGGCAGAUGGCAGGGUUUCCCGCCCACUGGCCGGGCCGCGGCGCUCCGGUCCCGGGUCCCUAGAAACGGAAGGGGAGAUUCACCGGGAUGGCGGCGUUCCCGGACCCCUGAAGGCCCUGACUCCGGACCCAAGUGGGAUCGGCGACUCCUCUGCAGUCCAGGAAGAGUGGAAUGCAGGGAUUGCUUUGGUCCCCAGAAAUGGUCUGGGGAAAGAGGGUGGGUCUGACUCUGGAUCCCUGGAGGAGAAUGACCUCAACAUGGCCCUUCAGUGUUUCUUGAGAAGCACAACUGCUGUCACUGAGUCUACUAAACUGAUCUCGAGAGAAGGACAGCAUCCAGUUCUGAUUCCUCCCUAUAACCUUAGCGUCCAGUUGCAAGGUAGUGGUUUAAUAAAUGGGUUGAAUGCGGAAUAAGUGGGGCCCGGGCGCGGUGGCUCACGCUUCUAAUCCCAGCACUUUGGGAGGCCAAGGCGGGCGGAUCGCCCGAGGUCGAGAGUUCAAGACCAGCCUGACCAACAUGGAGAAACCCUGUCUCUACUAAAAAUACAAAAAAAUUAGCCGGGCGUGGUGGCGCAUGCAUGUAAUCUCAGCUACUCGGGAGGCUGAGGCAGAAGAAUCGCUUGAACACGGGCGGCGGAGGUUGCGGUGAGCCGAGAUCGGUGAGUCGAGAUCCUGCCUUUGCACUCCAGCCUGGGCAACAAAAGUGAAACUCCAUCCCCCCUCGCCCCCCCCCAAAAAAAAAGAUAAGUGGAUGCAUGCAUGCCUAAGACAGUAAGUCUCAAACCAGAACUCCAGAACUAGGUAUAGCCGGUUCCUCACAGAUCUCCUCACCCCUUAACUUUUAAUUCAUUUAAUAAAUACUGAAGGCCUACUGUGUAUAAGGCAUAUCGCAUGAGAUAUAGCGAUAGCGAGACAGACAAGGCUGCUCUCAGGACCUUCCCUCAGCUGGAGGGAAGCACAUAGGCUUGUAAAUACAUAACUUCAGAGUGACCACUGCUAUGAAGAAGGUAAAACAAAGUGAUGGGAUAGUGACAGGGGAAGCCAGGCGCAAUGGCUCAUGCCUGUAAUUCCAACAUUUUGGGAGGCUGAGGCAGGUGGAUCACCUGAGGUUAGGAGUUCGAGACCAGCCUGGCCAAAAUGGUGAAACCCCGUCUCUAGUAAAAAUACAAAAAUUAGCUGGACAUGGUGGCGCAUGCCUGUAGUCCCAGCUACUCGGGAGGCUGAGGCAGGAGAAUCGCUUGAACCCGGGAGGUGGAGCUUGCAGUGAGCCGAGAUCCCACCACUGCACUCCAGCCUGGGCGACAGAGCGAGACUCCGCCUCAAACAAAAACAAAAACAAAACAACCAAAACAAAACGAGAAAGAGGUUUCUGAUUGGUUAGAGAAAACUUCUUCCAGAAAAAAAGACCUAGAAAUAGCAAGGAUGAAGUGGCUAUGAGAAGAUCUGGGGUGACAGCCUUCUAGGCAGAGGGCACAGCCAAUAUACAGGCUCAAGGCAGGAAUAAACAUGUUACAUUUGAGGAAUAAGAAGGCCAUCAUGACUAAAGGAACAGUCCUAGGUGAGGCUGGAAACAUAGACCCGCCAGAUUACAUAGGGCCUUGGAUGCUAUGGUCUUAAGUAUGGGCUCCUUCUACUCCAUUUUAUACACUGUUGCCAAAUUAACACUAGAAUAACAACAUCAUUCAGAUACCUCUUCUACUCAGAAACCUUUCCACAUUCCCCAAAGCCCCCAAAUAUCCCUAUUCAAGGCCCCCCAUAAUCUAACCUCUACCUACUUUUACAGCCUUUUGUCUCAUAUCCUGGCCAAAUUUUUGACUCCAGGAAAAUGAACCCACUUGCUAGCCCCUGCACACACCUUAUGUAUAUCGUCACUUCAUACCCUUUCCUUCACCUUCUUUACAUUUUUUAUCAAAGUAAUAUGUUUGGAAGUCAAAUAGUAUUUAAACAGCUUUUUUUUUUUUUUUUUUUUUUUUUUUUUGAGAUGGAGUCUCACUCUGUCGCCCAGGGUGGAGUGCAGUGGCACAAUCUCGGCUCACUGCAAGCUCCGCCUCUUGAGUUCACGCCAGCCUCCCGAGCAGCUGGGACCACAGGCGCCCGCCAAAUUUUUUGUGUUUUUUUUAGUAGAGACGGGGUUUCACUGUGUUAAACAGGAUGGUCUUGAUCUGAACUCGUGAUCCACCUGCCUCGGCCUCCCAAAGUGCUGGGACUACAGGCGCAAGCCACCACGCCCGGCUUUUUUUUUUUUUUUUUUUUUUUUUUUUUUUUUUUGAGAUGGAGUGUUGCUCUGUCGCCCAGGCUGGAGUGCAGUGGCACGAUCUUGGCUCACUGUGAACUCCGCCUCCCGGGUUCAUGCCAUUCUCCUGCCUCAGCCUCCCGAGUAGCUGGGACUACAGGUGCCUGCCACCACACCUGGCUAAUUUUUUACAUUUGUAGUAGAGAUGGGGUUUCACCGUGUUAGCCAGGAUGGUCUCGAUCUCCUGAUCUCGUGAUCUGCCUGCCUCGGCCUCCCAAAGUGCUGGGAUUACAGGUGUGAGCCACCGUGCCUGGCCCUUAAAAAGCUUUUUAACAAAACAGCAGUCCUCCUUAUUGGUAUAGUGGUGAGAAAAACAAAACAAAAAACCCGAGCAAUUCUUUGUCCUAUUUCCCUACCACUCUUAGUACUUUUUUUUAGCUCAUAAUACUUGUUCUUGAUUUAUACAUUUUAGACAUUGCUUAUUGAUUUCCAAAUUUGAUUGAUGAUUCUCUGUCUUCCACCUUACCCUUCCCUCUUAAAAUAGUGAAAGCACACUUUUUGGCUAAGUCAAUAUAGUACUUAGUAGUGACCUUAUUUUGACUAUGAGCAAAUGUUCACCGCUAAGUCAUGUGGAGUUUUUUUUGUUUUGUUUUUGUUUUUGUUUUUGAUGGAGUCUCACUCUGUCGCCAGGCUGGAGUGCAGUGAUGUGAUCUCAGCUCAUUGCAACCUCCACCUCCCGGGUUCAAGCGAUAAUUCUGCCUCAGCCUCCGAGUAGCUGGGAUUACAGGCAUGUGCCACCAUACCUGCCCAACUCAUUUUUGUAUUUUUAGUAGAGACAGGGUUUUACCAUGUUGGCCAGGAUGGUCUCAAUCUCUUGACCUCGUGAUCCACCUGCCUUGGCCUCCCAAAGUGCUGUGAUUACAGGCAUGAGCCACCGCGCUGGCCUCAUGUGUGUUUUAUAAUCGUUUCCUUUACAACUUUUUUGUUUCCUCUGACUUUAAUCAUUGCCUUGUGUUUUCAUUUGUUUUAAUAUAUUAUACCUAUCAUUAGUUUUUCCCAUGUAAUCUAAUAGUUUCUCAAUACACAUUUUGUUCAUUCAGUCAAAGCUAUUAGAUAAUCCAUCAGUUCAAUUUUUCCCUGGAGGCUUCCAUCUUUUUUUUUUUUUUUUUUUAGAUGGAGUCUCACUCUGUCGCCCAGGCUGGAGUGCAGUGGCGAGAUUCCGGCUCACUGCAACCUCUGCCUCCCAGGUUCAAGUGAUUCUCCUGCCUCAGCCUCCCAAGUAGCUGGGAUUACAGGCGCCUGCCACCACGCCCAGCUAAUAUUGUAUUUUUAGUAGAGACAGGGUCUCACCAUGUUAGCCAGGCUGAUCUGGAACUCCUGACCUCAGGUGAUCGCUCGCCUUAGCCUCUCAAAGUGCUGGGAUUACAGGCGUGAGCCACCACGCUUGGUGGAACCUUCCAUUCUUUUGCUCUGGUCUGCACCGCCGGCUAUCUCAGCCUGUGCACAGCUGUCAUCCUGGGACUUCUCUGCAUCCUCAAAAUUCCCUUUACCUGUCUCUGUGUUGAAUCUGUUUCCUGGAUACUUUACUCCUUUGUUUUAUUUACCUGUUUAUUGAGACAAGGCCUUGCUCUGUUGCUCAGGUUGGAGUAUAGUGAGGUAAUCAUGGCUCACUGCAGCCUCAAACUCCUUGGCUCAAGCGAUCCUAUCGAAGUGCUGGGAUUAUAGGUGUGAACCACCGUACCCAGCCAACAAUAAAUUCUUGAAUUAAGACCAGGUCCAUGCCUGUAAUCCCAACGCCACUGCACUCCAGCCUGGGUGACAGCGACACUCCUUCUCAAAAAAACAAACAAACAAAAAAGUAGCCGUGUGUGGUGGUAAGCACCUGUAAUCCCAGCUACUCAGGAGACUGAGGCACGAGAAUCGCGUGAACCCGGGAGGUGGAGAUUGCAGUGAGCUGAGACCACAUCACUGCACUCCAGCCUGGGCAACAGAACAAAACUCAGUCUAAAAGAAAAAAAAAAACGGAAAAAUGGUAAUUAAAAUGUUCUUUUUUUUUGAGACAGAGUCUCACUCUGUCACUCAGGCUGGAGUGCAGUGGUGUGGUCUCAGCUCACUGCAAUCUCCACCUCCUGGGUUCAAGUGAUUCUCGUGCCUCAGCCUCCUGAGUAGCUGGGAUUACAGGUGCACACCACCACAUGCGGCUAACUUUUUUUUUCUUUUUUUUUUUUUUUGAGAAGGAGUCUCACCCUAUCAUCCAGGCUGGAGUGCAGUGGAGCUAUCUCGGCUCACUGCAACCUCUGCCUCCUGGGCUCAGGCGAUUCUCCUGCCUCAGCCUCCUGAGUAGCUGGGAUUACAGGCAUGCACCACCAUGCCCAGCUAAUAUUUUGUAUUUUUAGUAGAGACAGGGUUCCACCAUGUUGGCCAGGAUUGUCUCAAACUCCUGACCUCAGGUGAUCUGCCCGCCUCAGCCUCCCAAAGUGCUGGGAUUACAGGUGUGAGCCACCAUGCCCAGCCCUAAUUUUGUAUAUAUUUUUUUGUCUUUGUAUGAGAUUUUAUUAAAGGUCUUUACAGAGCAACAUCCAGACUCCAGAAUACAGCUGCUAAGGAGACCCUGUUAUGCUGUAGGGACUGGCUGGGGCAUGGCAGGUGGUCAGGCAGGGGCUUCUUAGGGCCAGUCUUACCAGUUGGGUCCCAGGGCAGCAUGAUCUUCACCUUGAUGCCCAGCACACCCUGUCUGAGCAACACGUGGCACACAGCAGUGCCAACGUAGUAGUUAAUAGGGUCUCCACUGUGGAUCGUCAGGCCAUCCACAAACUUCAUGGAUUUAGCCCUCUGUCCUCGGAGUUUCCCAGACGCCAUGACCUUGCAGCCUUUGGCCCCACUCUCCAUGAUGAACCGCAGCACACCAUAGCAGGCCCUCCACACAGCAAGCCCUCCUAGGAGUUUGUAACGCAGAGACUCUGCCUGGGCAAUGGCACACAGACCUCUAGUGGCAACCUUUUCAGCAUAAAGCUCUACACUGCCCUCUGGAAAGCCAAACCUCUUCUGAACUAUAGCAGUCAGUUCCCGAAUCCGUCAGCCCUUCUCACCAGGAAUAUUCUGUGUUCUGGUGGCUAAGAUAAUGAUUUCUGUCCUGGUUGGUGUAACUUGCAUCUCAACUCCAGAGUAGCCAUCUUCAGCCAGCUCCUGAGUAAGAAACUCAUUCAGUUCAGCUUUGAAGAUGUCAUCAGUGACAAACAUCCUCUUCUUGGAAAUUUGCACAGCCAUCUUGCCGCCACGCUCCACUGAAAGGAAAGGCCUAAUUUUGUAUUUUUAAUAGACACAGGGUUUCACCACAUUGGCCAGUCUGGUAUCAAACUCCUGGGCUUAAGUUAUCCUCUGCCAACCUUGGCCUCCCAAAGUGCUGGGAUUACAGGUGUGAGUCACAUCACACCCAGCCUUUUUUUUUUUUUUUUGGAGGCAAGGUCUUGCUCUGUCUUCCUGGCUGGAGUGCAGUGGUGUGAUCAUAGCUCACUGCAGCCUCGAACUGGGCACAAGUGAUCCUCCCACCUCAGUCUCCCGAGUAGCUGGGACUACAGGCACACACCACCACCCUUGGCUGAUAAUUUAAAAUUUUUUGUCGAGAUGGGAUCUUGCUAUGUUGCCCAGCUGGUCCCAAAUUCCUGGCAUCAAGCAAUCCAUCUGCCUUGGCCUCCCAAAGGGCUGGGAUUACAGGCAUGAGCCACCACGUCCAGCCGAUUUUUCCUAUUCUGUUUCCGCAGCCCAGUAGAUGAUUUUGGGCCUUAUGGAUUGAUCCUUUACUACUUUUUUUUUUUUUUUGGAUAGAUAAUAUAUUCAUGAUUCAAGAUUCAAGAAGUAUGUAAGAAUGGAAAUACAGUGAAACGUUACCCUGCUAUUUGGUCCUCGAAUCCUCCAAUUCUCAAGAGAAGGAAUUAGUUUACUUAUUUUUAAUUUCUAAGAACUCUUUCUUCUCCAAUUCUUCCUUUUUAAAGUACUUCAUAGACACAAUAUCUUUUCUUUGAGUUUUGAGAAUAGUUAUUGUAGCUUUUUCCCCAUGAAGUUUUCAGAAAGCUCCCUACUUUGUUAUUGUUUCCUUGGUUUCAAUUUUCUAUUUGUUUGUUUUGGUCUUUCAUAUUGGAAGGUUACUCAGAUGUUUAAUGGUCCUUUGCUGUCUAUUCAUAUUUAACAGUGAGAUACCAAAAAGUGGAUUGGAAGCUCAGUCUAUUUACAAGCUUUAUUAUUAAUGAAUAGGCUUCACUGUAGGGUGAUCAUGUGGGGGGAAAGCUGACAUUUUGUUGUUGAAGAAACCAAAAAUGUCAGUGUCAGUAUGCAUAGGCAUUUUUUUCCCUGCAGUUGUUUCUUUUCAUACUGGAGGUUCUGUCAGUGUGUGCUGAUGUUGAGUCUCACCGCUCAUAUAUUUUCACUUAAUUCUUCAUUUUCAAUCUAAUACCUCACCUCUAUCCCCACUAUGCCUGCUGCUGAAUGCAGAGGCUCUGAUAGUUUAAGUUCCCCUGGACAUUCUGAAAUUUCAUGGGCUUUUUCAUUCAUUAUGCUGGGCACUCAUGGACAGUUGGUCUGGAAACUUGUGACCUUUGGGCUUAGGAAACCUUAAGUCUAUCUUUGCUAACUUCCUCCCUACCAUUUCUCCAGAGACGGAAUCUCCCAUUUUAUGCAAGGGAGUAGGGGUAAUCACUUGGCUGGAUCAGAUGAGGUUGGGACUUGGUGGGGCUUUUUCUUAUACAGAUCAUCGUGUAAUCUCCUUCCACCCCACCCCUAGUUCUCAGCGUCAGUCCAUACCCUCCUCUGAGGUGCUGAACCUUUUAUGGGUUCAGAAGGGCACAUUGGCUUACUUCUUGCCAUUAACUCCCUCAGCAGGUAGAACCCAACUCAUUCUACUCUGUUAAGUGACUGUUGACUGUUCUGUUUUUCAUCUUCCAAAAUGUUGGCAUCUCUCAUUCAUUGUCACCUCCUAUUUUCCUUAUCACUGGGUCAUGUGGCUUUAUUAUUAUAUUUUUUGAGAGUUUCGCUCUUGUCACCCAGGUUGGAGUGCAAUGGCAUGAUCUCGGCUCACUGCAACCUCCGCCUCCUGGGUUCAAGCAAUUCUCCUUCCUCAGCCUCCUGAGUAGCUGGGAUUACAGGUGCCCCCCACCAUGCCCGGCUAAACUUUUGUGUUUUUUGGUUUUUUUUUUGAGAUGAAGUCUCGCUCUUGUCCCCCAGGCUGGAGUGCAAUGGCGCGAUCUCGGCUCACUGCAACCUCCACCUCCCAGAUUCAAGCGAUUCUCCUUCCUCAGCCUCCUGAGUAGCUGGGAUUACAGGCACCUGCCACCAGGCCCAGCUAAUUUUUCUAUUUUUAGUAGAGAUGGGGGUUUCAUCAUGUUGGCCAGGCUGGUCUCGAACUCCUGACCUCAGGGGAUCCACCCACCUUGACCUCCCAAAGUGCUGGGAUUACAGGCAUAAGCUACCACGCCUGGCUUUUUUGUAUUUUUAAUAGAGACGGGGGUCCACUAUGUUGGCCAGGGUGGUCUUGAACUCCUGACCUCAGGUGAUUCACCUGCCUCGGCCUCCCAAAGUGCUGGGAUUACAGGUGUGAGCCACUGAGCCCAGCCAGCACGUGCCUUUUUAAAAUAAUUCCUUUACUGGUAUUUCAAUAGAAUUUUUGGAGGGGGCAUAAAGGCUCAUGUGUUUAAUUUUCCGUAUUUAACUGGAAAGUUUUUGUUUUGCUUUUAAUGCAUGCUUCCAGCCUCUUCUAUUUUUUAGGCCACUCCAGCAUCAAAUUUCUGUAAAGCCUUCCCUAAUCACCCUAACUGGAAGUAAUCUCUCUUUCUGAAAAAGCUCUGUAGACUACUUCUGAUUUCUGCUAUACAUUCAGUACAGAUACAGGGAUGUCUCACUGUACUAGGUCCAUGCCAUAAUGCCAGAAUCUUCAUACUAGACACUAGAUCCUAUACCUAACAAGACAGAAACUGAGAUUUACUAGAAAAUUAAGCCAAACCCUGGCCAGCCUGUCUUUUCCUUUUCCAGUGAUGCCUUCAUACCCACAAGCUGACUUCAGUCAGCCCAUCCUCAGUUUAUAUCCUUUUUUUUGAGACAGAGUUUCACUUGUCGCCCAGGCUGGAAUGCAAUAGUGUGAUCUCAGCUCACUGCAACCUCCGUCUCUUGGGUUCAAGCGAUUCUCCUGCCUCAGCCUCCCGAGCGGCUGAGAUUACAGGCACCCACCACCACGCCUGGCUAAUUUUUGUAUUUUUAGUAGAGACAGGGUUUCACCAUGUUGGCCAGGCUUGUCUCAGACUCCUGACCUCAGCUGAUCUGCCCACCUCAGCCUCCCAAAGUGCUGGGAUUACAGGCGUAAGCCACCGCGCCUAGGCCAGUUUAUGUCUUUCUAUCCAACUAAAAUGAAUAAAGGCAACCAUUUGUUCUGUAACAUCUGGGACGGUAGGGAUGGGGGGGUAGAGCAUCACUUGUUACAACAGUCACAUUAGCCACCGUUUAAGUACCACUAAAGGAAAUUAUUAUUAUUAUAUUGUUUUGAGGCAGGGUCUCGCUCCAUCACCAAGGCUGGAGUGCAGUGGCACAAUCUCGGCUCACUGCAACCUCCGCCUCCCAGGUUCAAGCAAUUCUCCCUGCUUCAGCCUCCUGAGUAGCUGGGAUUUCAGGCGCCUGCCACAAUGCCCAGCUAAUUUUUGUAUUUUUGUAGAGAUGGGGUUUCGCUAUGUUGGUCUCGAACUCUUCGCCUCAGGUGAUCCGCCUGCCUCAGCCUCCCAAGGUGCUGGGAUUACAGGCGUGAGCCACUGCACGCGGCCAGAAUUGUUGACUCACUCUAUAUGAAGACAAGGAACUCAAAAAGAAAAGACAGAAAGGCAUGUCUCUUUUGGUUAAGGUUAAAGCAAUACAGCAAAGUAACAAGCUCCAGGUCAAGAGUCCAAUAUCACACCUGGCUCUGUCAGUUACUAGCUAGGGAAGCUCUGUGAGCUUCAGGCACCUUAUCUGAAAAUGGGGAUAAGACUUCAUGGGGCUCAUGUGAGGAUUAAAUGAAACAAUAUGUGAAAACUGCUUGCCUGUCACAUAGUAAACACUCUCAAGGGAAAGCACCCUUCACAUGGCCUUCCUGUGUUCUUGGGACCUCCAUUACUGGCUCUGGGUUAUAUUUGUCUGUGGGGCCAAUUUUCCCUUCACUGAAACACAAUACGCUGAAGGACAGAGUUCUGGAUUCUGAGGGUCAAGUCCUUAGCUUUACCCCUCAAGAGUCAUGUGACCUUGAGCUGAUUUCCUUAUUUCUGAUGAAGCGUGGCCCAGCUUCCUGACAGAACGAGUACCAGAUCAACUGGAAAAGGCAUGUGAAAGGAACUGGCAUGUCUAAUGGGCUUUACAUAUGGUUGGCAACAUAAUCCUCUGGCAGAAAAGUGUUCAAAAUGGGACUCUAUGGAAACGGGCUUAGGCACACCACCCCAGGAUCACAAGUUGGUCCACAGAGGCUGGAAAAGAACCUCCGCCCUCCACUACCCAUGAGCCAUGGGAAAGGUUAAUUAGCAAGGUACCACAGUACCACCUAGUGGCUGGCACACCCGUCCUCCCUCUCCCCCAGGUGUUAAGGAAAGGCUAUCAUGUGAUUCUGGUCACAUACUUCACUGGCUGAUUAGUCAGGGAUGGAGACAAACCAAAUACACCACUCUCUCUUUUAAUAUUAACAUAUACAAGCAGCAGAAAGAGCCAACUGCUCUCUGCUGUUCCCUGAGGGAAAGCCGGAGCACAAAGCUGUUCCUCUGGCCUUCCUCCAACUGCCGGGCCUGCUUAGCUCCUCCCUAGGCAGAAGCUUUGUUCCAGCCCCACUUCCACAUCCCAACUCCACAGUCAGGAUGGGAGGCACAUGGUUGCUAGCAGGGGAAAGAAUACUGUAGUUCCAGCCUCUGCUCCUUUCAGUCUCAGCCUGGAUGGUGGUCACUCAUCCCUCUGCAGCUAGUUCCUCACUUGUCCCAGCCCAGGAGCCAGGAGGGCACUCAAUCACACCCAAAGGAGCAGGCAGUGUGACUUCAGUCAUCUUCAGAUGACUCCUCUUCUGCCUCUUUUAGCCACUGGAUGAACCUCUGCAGCUGUAAAGAAGCAGAGGAGAGAUCGGCUGGGGGAGGUGCACAUAACUCUCCUGCUCCCCUCGGCAGAUAAACAGCUCUAACAACCAGAGCCCCAGAAACCAACCACCCUAGAGUCUAGGGGCCAGGACCUGGGAAUGAGAUAACCAUCUUGGCGAGAGGAGGACAGCCUGACGCACCUGUUGAUUCUUGCGCAACUGCUGGCCCUUGUCAGUUGUAUCUCUUUGGCUGAACCAGCUCAGAAUUGUUUCCUCAGCCAGGAUCUCCAGCUGGUAGAAAGCCAUCAGUACCUGCAAAAGGCCAAUAAAGGGGACCUCAGGGGCCUUGGAAAGUCCAGCAGGAUACUCUACCAGGCCCUCAGAUCCCUCUAUGCACUGAGUAGCCUCCUCCAAAACGGACAAGAGUGAGCUGUUCGCUCUGCUCCUGGGGCAGGUCUAACUUCUGGAACUAUUGCUGGGGAGAGCUUUGCACAUUUCCAGACCACCCCCCAGAUGGCUACCUUAUUAGUCCGGCUCCAAGCUGUACUAUUCUAGCAAUAAGCAUAUUGGGAGUGGAUGGUCCAUACUGGAUUCACAUUAGCUUCUAUUUUAUGUCUCCCAAGGGGGUCACCAACCCUCGUUUGAAAGCAAGUGCAGAAGAAUGGGGCUUGAGGUCAUAUUCACCUUGGCCAUGGAAAUACCAAGAGCUUCAUGCUCUAGGAAGAAGUCCUCAAUGGCUGCUAACGCUUCCAAAUGGUCGGCUGCGCGCUUUAUGUAGUUCCUAAAAACAGGGCUCCAGGCCUUUAGCAGCUAUGGAAGAAAGAAGGGAGCUGCAGUAUAUUCCUAAGCAUUCACCUAUACCUGGACAUCCAAGCAAAUCCAUACUGAUGACAUGGGUGGACAAAAGGGAGAUGAUACAGGUUCUGUGGAAUUAUGUCAGAGGGACUUGGGAGUUGUUGACAGGGUUUGGGAAAAAGAGAUUCCUUAGGGAAGGUGAAAGGGGAUCAGAUGCUAUAGGCUGCCUCAAAAUACCUAUUCCCACCCCAGAGGCUGAUCUUGUGUUGGGUCAAAUUGCUGCCAUAGAGUCUGAAUGUCCAGGUCCAUUCUGAAUAUACCUUUGUGGGCCUAGGAUGGUAUGAAAUCCUGGAGUCUCAAAGGCCAGUCAGUAUUGAACUCAAUCUGACCCCUCUGAACCAGCCAAGGCUGCUCUAGAGCCCAACCAGCUUCCAGAGGCAAGGAAAAAGGAACCAGAAGUGACAUACACCCAAUAUAACAAGACAGUCUACUCCUGAUUUCCUUUGCCUGUACCCAAUCCCUUGUACUCAGCUCCAAUCUUUGCUCACAGGAAGCAGCAGGGCACAGUAGCGGCUUGAGUCAAGCGGGGAAUCCAUCUGUUGCAGGGGGAACUCCAGGACCACGUGGCUCAGUACCUGCAUCACCUCCUUUAGACUUAUGUUAUAGGCAUACCUGUGGGGAGACUGGGGUGACACCAGGGCCUUCACUGGCCUUUCAGCAGGCUUAGAACUAUGACUUUGAUAGACAUUGGAGAGGAAUCUGGAUGGAACAAUAUGGAAGGGGAGGGUUUAGGAAGGAGAAAGUCUAUGCUGAGGCUAGAACUUAAUAAUGCUCUCCUUGCUCCAAAUACUACUGGUCUUUCCAUUUGGGAUGUCGAAGGAAUAGGUUCCUAUUUGGAGACAAAACACUUACGAGAAAGCCUCUACCUUCCCGGGAUCACCCCGAGGAGAACAGGGAGGGGCUGCUCUUACUUGAGAGAGUUGAUUUCCAGGACGAGAUUGUCACAAGAAAUGUUCUCCUCUUUGCCCCGCUGUAGUGUUCCUAAAACUUCAUUCUGGAACACUGAAAUCAAAGCAAGGAUAAGUUCAUGGGCCAACAUCAUUCAGAAUGCUCUAAGUCAUCUAGUCUUGACUCGAUACCAAACCCUUUCUGAGGAACGUAAGCCUCUGGCUAGUUGAUCCAGGCAGAGAAUAAACUGGUCCAGCGCAUUUCUCCCCUGCCACUCACCUUUGAUGUCAUCCAUCUGAGGGGAGCCUCCCCGGCUGUCCGGCUCCUCAGAAUCCAUACUUUGCUCACUUUCACUUUCACUCUCUUCUUCCAUGUUGAUCUUGAUUCCUCCUCUUCCUCCAUGUUCAUGCCUGCAGCUUUCCAGAGGUAGCCCUUGCCAGCAGCUCCUACUUCUGCUGGAUUGUAACCUGGAAAAGGCAAUGAUCUAUAGAGAGGGCCCGGCGGAAGCACCAAUCCCUCCAGGAGGAAACACUGGUUCUUCUAUGAGGCAGCGAGACACACAGAUGCCCCACACCUGUUGAGUCUCACACCUUUCAUCUUCACUUUGUCCUUUUCUUGGUCAGCCCCAGAAUCAUCACUGAACUCGCCAUCAUCUUCAUCUUCCUCUGCAUCUGGAGGGUGCAAAGAGAUCACCGAGCCCUCAGGCAGCGUGAUAUUUGGGCCCACGACCACCUAAGGGGAAAAAAAACACAGAACCAUUAGGGUGUGGAGGAAAAGUGCAUCCUGAUAAUGAGAGCAACUUUUUUAGACAGGAUUAUGGGUGGAAAUAAUGCCCCUUCUGGCUCAGUGUGACUGCCAUGCAAUUCAGGGCCUGUGCACAGUAUAGAUCAGGUCUCACCUGGGAAGUGAGGACAGAGCGUGGUUUCAGUGUCACUCGUUCCUUGACCUCAGCAUUGUCACAAAGCAGAGACUGAUGGAUCUGUGCUCCAGCCGCCACUCGAACACCCUGCCACAGGUAGGUCUGGUCCAGCACCACGUUAUCACCUGGCUCAGGAUGGGAAGACCUCUGGGUAACUCAGGGUUCCAACCGCAGAGCAGAGCCCUUCAUAGAGGACAGGGCUGACUGACACCAGCACAGCUCCCACCUAGCUCUCAUUCCCCAUCCCGCAAGUCACCAGAAACACCCACUCACCCCCUAAGCCCAGGCCUGAGAAGAUACUUCACCAAGUUUACAACAAUUAUAGACUACACACAGAGCUUAAGAACCCGAGAACCUUCAGGAUUUCUGGGGACCCUCUGAACUCAAAAAACCUUAUUAGAAUCAUAUCCACGCCUACAAGCAGAACCAAAUAAUUCCACCUCUUCUGGUACAUUUUAGAAACCAAGUCUUUUUUUUCUUUUGAGACACGGUCUCAUUCCAUCACCCAGGCUGGAGUGCAGUAGUAUGAUCAUGACUCACUGCACCCUCGACCUCUGGGCUCAGGUAAUCCUCCUGCCUCAGCCUCCCGAAUAGCUGAGAUUACAGGCACGCGCCAUCAUGCCCAGCUAAUUUUUGUAUCAUUUGUGGAGAAGGGGUGUCGCUAUGUUGCCCAGGCUGGUCUUGAACUCCUGGGCUCAAGCGAUCCUCCCACCAUGGCUUCCCAGUGUGCUAGGAUUACAAGCAUGAGCCACCACGCUCAGCCCCUAGAAUCUGAGCCUUACUGUUGUUCUUGGAAAGGGGCAGUACUAUUAGACGCAUCACACUCCUGCAACCAAAAUGAGAUACCAAGAGGCCAACCAGGCAGUUAUGGUAGACUCAAAAGAACACUGGACUUACAUUCAGAAUACCCAGAUUCAGGUCCCACCAUUAUUACCAAUGACCUUGGGCAAGAAAAUCUUGUUGAGCCUGUUUAUUUGUAAAUUAUGAAGAUUAAAUGUAACAAUGUAUAUAAAAGCCCUUUGUAAACUGUAAUGUGCUAAAUAGAUGUUGUUACUGCAUGUUAAUUAUCUACUUGCUCCUGAAUGUGACUACAGGGUACCCUGGAAUGUGAAGAGUCAUCCAAUGAGAGGCCCACAGGCUACAAAUUAAGGUAUCGCUGUUUUCAAAUCCCUGUUUCCUCCUUUCCUGAGGUAGCCGCUCUAUAGUUCCUUAUUCCCAGGGACUGUCCCUUGUGUAGCCAUCCCUUGUGUUUCUGGAGACGUGGCCCCCCCAGGUUCCUGUUCCUAGGAUAGUUGGCUUGAUUCCCCACCUGUGCUCACCAAUGUGGCAGCCGGGGCCAAUGACACUGUUGGUGAUAAAGCAAUUGCUGCCAAUGACAGUGCCAGAGCCCAGGAGCACAUUUUCCUCUAGGAUGCUGCCAUGGCCCAGGCUGACCUCAGGCCCUCGGUAGAUGUUGUGCCGGGAAUGAGUGCAGCUCUGGGUGGUGCUGUCAGUGAAGUUCGCCUCUGGGGUGAGAGGGUAGACCCAUCGGCGGAUGACGUCAGCACAGACAGCUGAGUACAUGUGUAGGUUGGAGACACGGGCACCAUAUUCCUUAGCUGUUACGUGCAUGUGGAUCUGGUUCCCUAGGAUCUGAAUGAGAAGGAAAGGGAGGUCACCUAAGCAAGAAAGACAGGAAGAAUGCCCCCAAGUACAACUUUUCUAAUCCUUUUAAGUUCCCCUCUGCCUCUCACUGCCACAAAGAUUCUUCUUUGUGUACUGUUCCUCCUGUCCCCUGCUUUUCCUCCCUCCUAAGCCUCAAUAAAAUACAAAAAAGAUCAAAAGUUACCAGCAUGAGAUACAAUCAUAGCCUUCUCCUCUCUCCUAAAGAGGCAUUGGAAGACUUUUCUCACCUCCUCAUUCACUAAGAGACCUCGCACAAAGUCAUCUCGAGUUUGGUAGUCAAAGUUGUCUGUAAAGAGUUGUGCCACCUGUGGAAGGGAAGUGGAGUGGGCUAGAAUUAAGUACUAUUCUUUUUUUUUUUUUUUUGAGACAAGUCUAGCUCUGUUGCCCAGGCUGGAGUGCAGUUGCAUGAUCUCGGCUCACUGCAACCUCCACCUCCUGGGUUAAAGUGAUUCUUGUGCCUCAGCCUCCCAAGUAGCUGGGAUUACAAGCGUCCGCCACCACGCCCAGCUAAUUUUUGUAUUUUUAUUUUUUAGUAGAGAUGGGAUUUCACUGUGUUGGUCAGGCUGGUCUUGAACUCCUGACCUCAUGAUCCACUCACCUCGGCCUCCCAAAGUGCUGGGAUUACAAGCGUGAGCCACCACGCUUGGCCAGGAUUAAGUACUAUUCUCUAGGAGCACAGAUAAUCCCCCAGAGACCUAGCAAACCCUAUGACAGCUGAACAUGGACCAGAAUUCCAAAGAGACUCCCAGUGGGAUACUGGAGACAAGAUCUUUGCUUUACAAUAGAUUCUAAAAAAAAAAAAAAGGCCAGGUGCAGUGGCUCAUGCCCGUAAUGCCAGCACUUUGGGAGGCCGAGGCAGGCAGAUCACCUGAGGUUGGGAGUUCGAGACCAGCCUGACCAACAUGGUAAAACCUCGUCUCUACUAAAAAUACAAAAAUUAGCUGGGUGUGGUGGCACAUGCCUGCAAUCCCAGCUAUUUGGGAGGCUGAGGCAGGGGAAUUGCUUGAACCUGGGAGGUGGAGGUUGCAGUGAGCUGAGAUCGCACCAUUGCAUCCAGCCUGGGCAACAAGAGUGAAACUCCGACUCAAAAAAAAAAAAAAAAAAAAAAAAAAAAUGCUGGGUGCAGAGGCUCACACCUGUGAUUGCAGCACUUUGGGAGGCCAAGGCGGGAGGAUCACCUGAGGUCAGGAGUUAGAGACCAGCCUGGCCAAUAUGGUGAAACCCCAUCUCUACUGAAAAAUACAAAAAAUAGCCGGAUGUGGUGGUGCGUACCUGUAGUCCCAGCUACUUGAGAGGCUGAGGCAGGAGAAUCACUGGAACCCAGGAGGUGGAGGCUGCAGUAAGCUGAGAUCAUGCCACUGCACUCCAGCCUGGGCGACAGAGCGAGGCUCCAUCUCAAAACAACAAUAACAACAACAACAACAAAAAAAACUGGUGGCUCAUGCCUGUAAUCCCAGCAUUUUGGAAGGCUGAGGUGGUCAGAUUGCUUGAGCUCAGGAGUUCGUGACCAGGCCGGACAACAUGGCAAAACCCCGUCUCUACAAAAAAAUACAAAAAUUAGUGGUAGUGCAUGCCUGUGGUUCCAUCUACUCAGGAGGCUGAGGCAGGAGGUUCCCUUGAACCUGGGAGGCUGAGGCUGCAGUGAGCAGUCAUGGUGCCACUGUGCUCCAGCCUGGGCCACAGAGCGAGACCCUGUCUCAAAAAAUAUAUAUAAAUAAAAAUGAAAAUAAGGCCAGGUGUGGUGGCUCAUGCCUGUAAUCCCAGCACUUUGGGAGGCUGAGACAGGUAGAUCACUUGAGACCAGGAGUUCGAGACCAGCCUGGCCAACAUGGUGAAACCCCAUCUCUACUAAAAAUACAAAAAUUAGCCAGGCAUGGUGGUGUGCCUGUAAUCCCUGCUACUCAGGAGGCUGAGGCAGGAGAAUCACUUGAACCUAGGAGGCAGAGUCUGCAGUGAGCUGGGAUCACACCACUGCACUCCAGCCUGGGCAACAGAGCGAGACUCUGUCUCAAAAAAUAAAAGUAAAAAUAAUGAAAAUAAACAGGGAGAAGAAAUAUACCCUGGCCUUCUAAGGGGACAAUAACAGACCCACAGAGUUCUACUCUUUGGGUGUGCAGCCCCAGCCCUAAAGAGCUCACCUGAGGAGAACAGAUGCUGAUAUGACAAUCCAGUAAAUCAUAUCGAACCUCCACUCCAUCACUACUGCCCUGAAACAGGCUCUGUGGGGAGAAGUUACAAGGACUUUAAUUUGUUUCUCCCACUGAAGCCUGUCACUUCCCCAUCUCAAAGGACCCCAGAUAUCCACACACCAGAGGAAAUGCAAAACGCCGGAGACCCUGGGUCUUCUGAAAAUGGAGAACCCUGUUUGUGGUACUAUCCACAGCCACUACCACAUUGUCUUCGUGGCAACGAGUUGGGUGGCUGGGGGAUGACUCCUUGAAGAUCAUCGUCAUCACAGAAACAUUUUUUUCUAGCUUCCGUCUCAACCUAUAAAGGACAGGAGGGACAGAACUGCAAAAAAGCAGUCUCAGGGCUCUGCUGGUCUUUAACCCUUGUUCCUGUCAUUUUCCCAUCCUGACCUGUGUUCCUCAAGGGCUCUGGUGAUAUUGAUGUUUGAGAUGACAUCCCCAUACACCAGAAGAAAGUCAGAGCGCACCAAAGCCUUGGCAUCAACAUCACGGAGGACAUCUCCCAGUGAUCGAUAGAGCUCUGAUGUAAUUAUUCGAACCACAUUGAGAGAUGUAGGGCGGCACCACUUUGACUUCCUAAAGGAAGGGAGGGUGAGGGGAAUGAGUGUAUCAAGCAUAAAGAUCAUUUGAGCCUUCCCCAUUUUUCACCCCCUUUCAGCACUCACAGUCCUUCUCGAUGGCUUUUUUGGGUUCUUGCCAGCGUCUUCAACUUCAAAGAGUAUUAUGAACUAUAAUGAAUGCUUUCAGCAUCCUGUGUCACCAGUCUUGUUUUAUGGGUUAGGAAACAUGGUUAUUUCCUCUCCAUACCUUGACCCCUUGUCCCUAAACAUCAAUUUGAACUCAAAAUCCUGCUGAAGCCUAGGGUACACAAAGUAGCCUGGGAACACGCUUCACGUCAGCUUUCCCCUUCUGCAAUCCAUAUAACAUUUAGGAACUGUCUGAUGGAGACCAUGCUAAUGUCCUAGUCUUUACAUCCUGGACUUCCAUAAGCAAUGCGAUUCCCUAGUUUUCAAGAUUUCAACAAACAUGUAAGUGCUCACUAUAUGCUUGGGACUGAGCUAGGCAGUGGGAAUACAAAGAUGACAAGGAGCUCAUUUAUAUCCUUGAAGGUGAGAACAAACAAGAUUUAGAAACUCAGUGGGAAAACAAAGAUGUUAUCAUUGUAACUUCCAUACUGAAGCCAUUAAAUAAAAGCAAAGUCCACUGGCACCAAACUUUAUAAUGAGAUUCAGAAAAAACCCAAGUUUAUUCUUUAAUCUUUGUCACAGAAAACCCAAGACAGACAGAUACAAAGUUUCAGCUGCUCACCUCCUGAUAAGUGUAGAAAAUACCCUUAGAACUUACAAUGACAUCUAAGUAGACACAUUUUUCCCCUCUCACAUUUCCCCUUAGUUACAUUCAUCCUGAAAAAACUGGAAAAAGAUGGCGAAACAUGGAAAGAAAAGUUGCAGGGCCUUACAGUAAAUGUUCUUUGAUUUGAGCAGCUUUCCAGCAACAAAAGACAAAUGUUUCCUGUACACCUGUGGCAGUCAGGAAUUCCAGAGUGUAGUCAAUUAAUGCCACAUUGGCCAGGGGCAAGAGGACCUGAAGGAUACAAGAUGAAAAAAAACUUGAGGUCUCGAAUCCCUUUGGGUACCCCACUGCAACAAUUUUCACUCCUCUAUUCGUAUUUCCAAACAGUGUAAUUUUGCUGUAUCUUUCCAAUUCAAAGAUAAACAGGUUCCUGCCUUUGAUGUUCAUGCCAUGCUCUAAGCCUGAGUCUGAGACAUUGCAAUUUGGGGAUGGUAAGUACAGAAUCUAUGUGCCUUGUAUCAGACACAGAGCUGUGACAGAAUGGCAGUUCACUGCUGGCAAAGGAUAAUACUGGAAAUCAAUCAUAUUUCCAUAAAUUUAAGCAUUGCUAAGGCCUUCUUCCCCAUAAGAUUUCCUUCCUUGAUCCCUUUCUAAGUGUCAGAGGUUAGCCAUCUCCCGUCACUUGUCAAAAAUGAACAGCCAUUAGGCUUUUUCGAGGGAAUUAGAGAGGAUUUUCCUUAAAUCCAAUGCAGUUCCCUCUUUCUGAACUGACUGCUGAACGACCCAGCUGAGUCCAAUACCCCAUUGUCUAGACAACUCGGGGGCUGAUGGCAAUCAACCACUAAACCCAUUUUGUCCUUUCGACAGAUAGCACCGGCUAUCAUUAGAACCUGGAAGGAAAAAAAAAAUACACUGCCUGAGAUCUAGCCCGCUCUUUUUAAGGCAUAUUACCGCCCUUUCAGAGGCAAAAGGUCGUUUCUUUUCACCUAAGCAACCGUCAUCGGCAAGGUUAAAAGCGGCGCAGCCUCUUCUAGGGGCACUGAAUCCCCGCGUGAAGGCUUCUCUCAAGCGCUGUUUCUACAUUUAGCUCUCUUCAUUCCUUUCAAACCCGAGGUGGACAGCAUUACGAAUGCCCAAAUCUGCCGGCCACUAACUUGGUCAGCAGUCAUCAGGGUUUAGACAGUCCCUCUGCAUCCGGUUUUAGGAUAACAGCAUAGACGCAGGUCCUUCAAGGGCAUGCUGUUGUAGUUAGCCGAAAUGAGAACUUGCUCCAGCCCUGCCACCCUUCCUGCCCUCUGGCUGCUCGCGUGCGCGGCGCUCACCCGAGGCUGGUCCUUGGAGAUGGGGAAGAAGCGGCGAUCGAAGCUAUCGGCCACCAGAACUGCUUGUAGGGGCGGCGGCGGUUCCUCCUCCGCCCCUCUGGCUCCCCCGCCACCGCUGCCUCCCGGCCCCGCGCCGCUGCGCUUGUUAGCCCGACUAACCACCACACCAGGCGGCGCCACUACAGGGGCCGCCAUCUUCUUCUCUCACGGUCACCACUUCCGCAAGGAAGCUGCCACCGCACGCAGUAGGGGACAAAAAGGAUCCAGCACUUGAAAUGCGAUGGACUAAUUAACGAAGGGAAGGAGACGAGGAGGGAGCAGUGCGCAUGCGUCUUCCCCGGGAGCCCACAGGGGUCUGAGGUUGAUCCCGGAGGCGCGAGGAGUCGGUACGGGUCACGGUUGUCCCGGCCCCUGAGGCGCAGGGUAGGAGUGGGGUCCCAUAGAUGUCAGACUCGGUCUGCAAGUAUCGUCGGCCUUCAUUUGUAGGUGAACAAGCCGAGAUUCUUGUGGCGUGAUAGGACUUGUGGUCGCCACGAAGGGGCCAGCUCCAUCGGGAAUCUGUAAUCGCCCAGCAGUUUCCCCGCCCCGCGCAUGUGAAAUAUGUAGCCCUCCGUAUUCAUUCUAGAAACUUCUGGGAACCCAGCGCCUUGGGGAGAUAGAACCGAGCCAGAUGUUCCCCCGCUGCGAGGAACUCAGAACCUGCAUAAAUAGAGAAGGUGGCAGGCAUAUAGUAGGGAGACCAGUAAUUCCAUUGAGCGCUGAUUUUGGGCCAGGCACGAUACAAGCAUUAUCUCUGCAAAACAUCUUAUUCAUUCGUUCAGCAAACGUUUCUUGAACUCUCAGAAGGAUGAAGGAAGUUUACCCAGCUAGUAAGUGGAAGAACUGGUAUUGGAACCCGAUCUGUCUGACUGCAGAGUUCCACAAUCUUGCUGCCAAGUUAUGUGGGGAUAACAAUGACUAUUUUAUGUCAUCUAUUCAUUCUUCCAGCCUAUCAGCCUCCUGUGUCUUAAGCAGAGUGGAGACGGGGGUGGAUCCAGGCGCACCAGUUCCACGCCACAGGCUUCUGCAGUUCCUGCAAACUGUUCCCAUCCCGCCCCGCGUUGCACGUCGGGAUUUGGAGUUCGCGAUGCUGAGAGCUGUUUCCACGUGGCGAUUCCGACUUGACCCGUCGUGCUCCGGCGCCCGCCUAGGGGGACCGAGGAGUUUGUCAUUUCUUGCCUCGUUAGGGUGCGGAACGAAAACCAUUUGAUUUAUCCUAGAAAAGGAAAGGCUGAAGCCAACUAAGUAAAAGUUUUCCAUUAAAUGAAUGCACGUUGUAGAAAAGGAAUGUUCAACUGCCCUACAAAUCCAGAGGUAGAAAUGGGGGAGGGGAGAAGGAAUUAAAUAGGACACACACACACACACACAAACACACACACACACACACUCUUGGGGGGGUGUUUGGGUAUGGAAAGUAGGUCCGAUUGCAGAAUUUAUUUUAAAUGAUUCCCGCAACCUUGGGAAGUUGGGAAGUGGUGAAUCCGCUGCCGAAAGGCAUUUGUGCUUAUGGUAAAUCCAGGUCUUAAAAUUCUGUAGACUGGUAGCUAUAUGGAUAUGAUUUUAAUAGACGAGUUUCAGGAAGACUCUCUCAAACUGUUUUUUGUUGUUGUUGUUUAAAAACUUACUUGAAAUAUAUUGGAAACCACAUAUACAUAAUCUCUCACACACACUACAUAAAGAAGUAAAAAUUCCUUUCCCUACUUCUUUCAUCCUAUCCAAUUUGUAGAGUCAUAACCAUUCUUAAUAAUUUGAUGGGUAUUCAUUUCUUCCCUAAAUUUAUAUGUCUAGAACUAGAGCUAGAGUGUAUGCCUACAUACACACACACACACACCCAUACAUAUAUAUUCAAACAUAAUAUAUGUAUAUCCACAUGUAUUCAAACACAGAAUUAUGUUUAGAUAAUUAUGGUUAUAUGCUGGUAUGCCAGAGCCAGACUGCCUGGCUUCGGUUCCAGGCCCUAGUUGGAUAGCUUUGGGCUACUCAGCCUCUUUAUGCCUGGACUUCUUCAUCUUUGAAAUGGGAUAAUAAUAAUACUUAUCCCAUAAAGUUAUUGUGAGAAUUAAAUGAAAUAAUAUAUGAAAAGCCCUUAGAACAGGCAUUGACACAUUGUGAAGGUAAUGUAUUAGCUAUUUUGAUGAUUAUGCAUUUUGUCUGCAACUUGAUUUUUAUUUAACAUAUGUGGGAAAGUAGACAAACAUAGCCAUUUUCAAUGAUUCCAUAAUAUUCCAUAGCACGAGUAUACCAUUGUUUAUCGAACCAUUUCUCUCUUGAGAAACAUUGCAGAUUUUUUUUGCAGUUUCUACGAUUACAAAUAAUGCUGCAAUAAACAUCUUUCUACAUAUAGUCUUUAUAAAUUUGCGUUUAUUUCUUAGAAUUUAUUAUUGAAUUAGAGUAACUGGUUCAAAUUGGAUGCAAUUCCCAUGGCAGAAGGUACAUUGUUGAACUCACUGGCAAGCCUGAUGAGGCACUGGUGGAAUUCAUGGAGAUACUGCUUAAUUGCUCUCCCUGGACAAUGUGUCAUUUUGCACUUACACCAGCAAUGUAUGAGAGCGCCUGUUUCCCCAUAGCCUCACCAACAGAGUAUUUUGUCAAUAGUUUGGAGUUUCUGCCAAUCUGUAAAGGAAAAUAAGUGUAGUUUUAAUUUGCAUUUCUCUAUUUCAGUGAGGUUGAACAUUUUUUCAUAUAUUUGGUCAACUGCCAGUUCUGGUUCUUUUUCUUUUUUUUUUUCUUUUUGAGACAGAGUCUCACUCUGUCUCCCAGGCUGGAGUGUAGUGGCACGAUCUUGGCUCACUGCAACCUCUGCCUCCGAGGUUCAAGUGAUUUUCCUACCUAGGCCCCCCUGAAUAGCUGGGAUUACAGGCUCACACCACUACACCUGGCUGAUUUUUGUAUUUUUAAUAAAGGUGGGGUUUUGCCAUAUUGGCCAGGCUGGUCUCAAACUCCUGACUUCAGGUGAUCCACCUGCCUUGGCCUCUCAAAGUGCUGGGAUUACAGGUGUGAGCCACCGCACCCAGCCUCUUUUUCUUUUCUUUUCUUUCUUUCUUUUUGUUUAGAAACAGGGUUGUGCUCUGUUGCCCAGGCUGGAGUACAGUAGCACAAUCAUAGCUCACUGCAGCCUCAAACUCUUGGGCUCAAGCAGUCCUUCCUCAGCCUCCAGAGUAGCUGGGACAACAGGCACCUGCCACCACACCUAAGUUUUGUAGUUUUUGUAGAAAUGGGGUCUUUCUGUGUUGCUCAGGCUAGUUCUGGUUCUUUCUCUGAAUUUAGAUUUCAAAAUGAGUCUUGAAUAUGAAAUCAGUUUAGAAUAUAAUCUCUGUGGGCCUUCUGUUUAUUUUAUUCACUACUAUACCCCAGGUACCUAGAAGAGUAACUGGCACAUGGCAGAUGCUCACUAAAUAUUUGUUGAACGAAUGACUGGUUGUUGCUAGUCAGUAACUGAGUAUGUGAUCAACUGUAGACAAACAAAAGUAAUUCCUGACUCUCCCAAGGCUGAGGCUGUUUUUAAAAGAUUAUGGUAAAAAUACAACAAAACAUAAAAGUUAUCAUCUUAACAAUUUUUUAACCUUGGCAUGGAAAAUUGAUCGAAGUUGGCCAUUUUUAAGUAUACAACUCUGUAGUGUUACUUAUGUUCACGUUGUUGUGCUACCAUCACCAACAUCCACCCACAGAACUCUUCAUUUUGUAAAACUGAUACUCUGUACCCAUUAAACACAAUCCUCAUUUCCCACUCAGUCCAGCUCCUGGCAACUACCAUGCCACUUUCUGUCUCUGUGAAUUUGACUGCCCUAGGUCCCUCAUAUAAGAGGAAUCACAUAGUAUUUUUUUUGUAUCUGCCUUAUUUCACUUAGCAUAAUGUCCUCAAGGUUCAUCCAUAUUGUUGCAUGUUUCAGAAUUUCCUUCCGUUUAAAGGCUGAAUGAUAAUCCAUUGGCUGUAGAUACCACAUUUUAUUUAUCCAUUUAUCUGUCAAUGGACACUUCUUCGGUUGUUUCCCCCUUUUGCUAUUGUGGAUAAUGCCACUACGAACGUGAUCGUACAAAUAUCUGUUCCAGUCCCUGUUUUCACUGAAAUAAAUGGAACUACUGUAUCAUAUGGUAACUCUACAUUUAAUUUUUUGAGAAAUUGCCAUACUUUUUUUCAUUUUUCUUUUCUUUUCUUUUUUUUUUUUUUUUUUUGGUUUUGAGAUGGAGUCUUACUCUGUCACCCAGGCUGGAGUGCAGUGACACGAUCUCGGCUCACUACAACCUCUGCCUCCCGGGUUCAAGCAAUUCUCCUGCCUCAGCUUCCCUAGAAGCUAGGAUUACAGGUGCACACCACUGCGCCUGGCUAAUUUUUGUAUUGUUAGUAGAGACGGGGGUUUCACUGUUUUGGCCACAGUGGUCUCAAACUCCUGACCUCCGGUGAUCCACCUGCCUUGGCUUCCCAAAGUGCUGGGAUUACAGGCGUGAGCCACCGUGCCUGGCCCCCAUUUUUUGAGACAGGGUCUUGCUCUGUCACCUAGGCUGGAGUGCAGUGGCGCAAUCAUGGCUCGCUGUAGCCUCAAACUCGUGGGCUCAAGCAAUCCUCCUGCCUCAGCCUCCCAUAGUGCUGGGAUUAUAGGCAUGAGUCACCACACUCAGCUGCCAUAUAUAUAAUUUUUACAGCAGAUGCCCCAUUUUACAUUCCCACCUGCAGUGAACAAGGGUUUCAAUUUCUUCACAUCCUUAGUAACACUUCUAUUUUUUUUUCUUUUUUUUUUUUUUGAGAUAGAGUCUUGUUCUGUUGCCCAGGCUGGAGUGCAGUGGUGUGAUCUUGGCUCACUGCAACCUCCACCUCCCAGGUUCAAGCAAUACUCCUGCCUCAGCCUCCUGAGUAGCUGAGAUUACAGGCAUGUGCCACCAUACCCAGCCAAUUUUUCUAUUUUUAGUAGAGGCAGGGUUUCACCGUGUUGGCCAGGCUGGUCUCAAACUCCUAACCUCAAGUGAUCCGCCCGCCUCGGCCCCCCAAAGUGCUGAGAUUACAGGCAUUAGCCACUGCACCUGGCCUGUUUUCUUCUAACUUUAAGUGGCACUUUUCCCAUUCCAAAAUUCUACUUAUAAAUAUAUUAAAAUAAUGGUAGGAUAUGUCCCCUUCAGGGCACCCUUGAUGCGUAUACAAGAGCUGGCUUUUUCUAGGCACUGCUAAAGAGCCAGGGCUCUGGUGACAGGAAGCAUUAAACUGGUGGAGCACCUUGAGGGUAAGUCUUGGGGCCUUUUGUGCUUCUCAGCUGGGCUCACUUGUUGCUUAGUGGACCAAGCUUGUUCACUGCUGUGAGUAUCAUUUAUUUUUCUAGUUACUUUGGGUCUGCAGUAGUAGUUGAGUUCUAAAUAUACUAUGGGAUAGCUGAGGUCCGUGUCCUAGGUUGCUAGAAAAUGACAGAAGAAAUACAGUUCUGGACUGGAUAUGUGGCUCACACCUGUAAUCCCAGUACUUUGGGAGGCCGAGGUGGGUGGAUUACCUGAGGUCAGGAGUUCGAGACCAGCCUGGCCAACAUGGCAAAACCCCAUCUCUGCUAAAAAACAAAACAAAACAAAACAAAACAAAAAUUAGCCGGGCAUGGUGGUGUGCACCUGUAAUUCCAGCUACUUGGAAGGCUGAGGCAGGAGAAUCACUUGAACCUGGGAGGCGGAGGUUGCAGUGAGCUGAUAUCACCCACUGUGCCUGGGUGACAGAGCGAGACUCUGUCUCAAACAAAAACAAAAACAAAAUCAAAAACAACAACAACAAAAAACAACUGAGUUCUUCCCUGUUUUUCUUAGCAUGUCCAGAGAUAUACCUAGUCUCCAGGGUAUAACAAUUCUUUUUGUCUUCUAGGCUGAGGUUUGAGGGAAAAAAUGUCCUUUAAGUUUUAUCCAUAGUAGAGUUGAAACAGGUUGGGAUUUUUCAGAAGAGACUUUACUCAAAAUCCUAAGGGAAGAGAAGGGAGAAAAAAUGAAAAUAAAGUCAUUAACAAUAAAUACACUACUUUGGCUGGGCCCUGCCUCAUGAGAGGCCAGAGUGGCUUGUGGAGUUUGGCAACACCGCCCCCCCUAGAGGUAAUUGCUGUGCUGCGCUCCAACCUCUCCAACAAUUGUUAGACUCUUCAGAUCCCUGUUGAUACAGAGCAUUCCAGGAUUGUGAAGUGGGAGCCAGCCACAUCCAUGAUGUUCAUGGAGCCUAGAAGAGCCCUGUGGAAACAAAUUUUACCUGGUUACACUGAGAUCCAGACAUGCACAGACCAGCCCUCUUGAAGAGAGCUUGAGCUUCCUGACUGGGGCUGGAAUGGAGAGAGACAAUGAAGUUCCUGAGAGUAUUGCCAGGAGAAAAAGGUGUGGCUGAAUGGAUCAGCCGAAACAUCAGGGGCUUGAAUCCAGAGGGAGGAUGGGGUCUCGCUAUGUUGCUCAGGCUGGUCUCAAACUCCUGGCCUUAAGCAGUCCUCCUGCCUCAGCUUCCAAAAGUGCUGGGAUUGCAGGUGUGAGCAUCUGCACCUAGCCAACAAUCAUUUAUUGUAUAUUUCACAGUAGCUAGAAGAGAAGGGUUGUAAUGUUCCCAACACAAAGAAAGAUAGGGCUGGCCACAGUGG
rnacentral:lncRNA from 1 species